GCCAGAGCUGCUGCAGCUUGGGGUGGUUGUGCGGCGAGAACUGGUGGCUCUCCAGGAUCUUGUAGAGCUCGCGGAAGUUGCCCCGGUGGAAGGCCACCACGGCCUUGGCCUUCAGGACGCUCUCGUUUUUGUGGAGGUGCUCGCACGCAGGGAGGGACCAGAGGAACCGCCCCAGCCGCUCGAUGUUGCCGCCUUGCUGGAGCACCUCGCAGACGCAAGCCACUUGCUCUUGGGUGAAGCCAAAAGUCGGGAGCAUCGACAUGGUGAGCCCUGCCCCGCCGCGCACCCUACGGCCGCUCGGUGGGGCGGCGGGCAGCGGCCCGCAUGCGGGGCCGGCCCCGGGGCGGUGGCGCCCGGCGGGGCCCGGCGGGACUCACGGCCCGGCGCGGGGGACCGCGGCCAUCGGCGGAGCCCGGCGCCGGAGCGGGGCGCGGGGAGCUGCUGAGGAGCGGUGCCGGAGUCGCGGAGCCCGAGCGCGGAAGGCUUUUCCCCGGCCGCCUCCUUUUUGUAAGUCCGAGUUGCGAGAGUAACUUUGUGCCUCUUUUGUCUCCUAUCUGCAGCGCUCGUAGCGGCCGCGGCUCUCCCACCCCCACCCCCCUCGGCCGCCGGUUUGGGAUCUCCCUGCUUCCCCCCCACCCCCCUCCGCCGAAAGAUCCCACAUAAUAUAGCGGUAAAGUCCCGCUCCCUCUCUCCUCUCCCUCUCGGAGUUUUCCCCCCUUUCUUUCUCUCUCUCUCUCUCUCUCCCCCCCCCCCCCCCUUUUUUUUUUUUUUUUAAUAAUAUUAUUCUAAGCUGGCAUGAAAAGUGAUUAUCCGCGCUGUGAUUGGUCCGGUUAUCUGACCCGGGGACUGCCAGGAGAAGACAAUAGUUUUAGUCAAAUUAUUUGCCAUGGUGACGCUGUCAAUCAGGGGUAACCCGAUCUGUUUUGAGGUGGCUCCCCGGCUGGGUUGACAGAUUGCUCAGAUCCACUCCGAGGCGGCCCCGCGAGCUGAGAUAUUGGCUGGCGAGGGAGAAACCGCCGCCGGGAUUGGCGCUGCGGGCGCCCGUCGGGAGCGGGCAGCGGAGAGCGCUGAGCCGCCGUCGGGGCCCGCAGCCCGGGCUCUGCUCGGCCCGGCGGCUGCGUUGGGGACGAACAGCCGGGCGGGCCCUCGCUGAAAGUUUCUUUCUAAAUGCACUUAACACCCUUCCAGACGCCCAGCGACAACUGUCGCGAUGGGCUUUAUAGGGAAGGGGCCUCUAGGGUACAAUAGGAACCCUGUUCGCCACUGGAGUAUCGUCACAGAGCGGCACUACCUGCCCGCCGGGCCCCAGUCAGGCAUGGCCGCAGCCGAGCGCAGCCCCGCUGACCGCAGCCCGACCGCCCCUUUAGGUGCGCCUUUUCGGCCGCCGAGCUUUUAUUUCUGCUUCGUUUUCAGCAGCGUGCCGGGCUGUUUCCAGCCAGGGGCACGGGGAAAAGUUAGAGGCGCUUCGCGUGGCGAAGCUGUCCCGCAUCGCCCACGCGUGCCCUACGCACGGCGAUUUUAAUUCAGCGUCUGUGCGGGGAGGGGAGGACCUUCGCCUCUUCCAGUCGCUCUCGGGGCACGUAACGAACGCGGAUGAGCUUAUGCGGGCCGAACGGGAGUGGAGCGACCAGGCAGGGGUCCCCGAGGUGUCUGCGGACCUCUCGGUCGUACGGGAGCUGGAAGUCCCAGCUUCGGGCACUCGAGAGGAACCUCUCUAUCCCAAAGGUAGGGCGUUUCUCAUCCCCCUUAAUGCUUCAGUUCUGGGGAAGAAACGAUAAGAAUAACGAAACCGAGCCCUACGCCAUUUACAACCCCAACUGGAGGGCUGUCCGCAGCUGUGGGUUCCCGACAAGAAAUCUUUUUGACACCGCCCAGCUGCACCCCCGAGCUCGAGGGGCUCACGAAGCAGCAGGAAGCGGCUCCCCUCCGCGCAGCCGGGCCCCCGCGGCGGGAGCCGGGCCGGGCACAGCUGCUCCCCCAGGGAGACGAGGGAGGGCGGCGGCGGCGCGGCGCGGCCCGGACGCUCCCGGCGGCUGCCGGCCCGGAGCAGCGCCAGUGUGAAGGGCGGCGAGGGGGAGGCAGGAGGAGAGGGGUGGGGGAGCGAAUCUGCCUCCUCCAGCCCCGCCGCAUCCGGGACGCUGUGCGGCUGGGUUCGCUUGGCACUUGAAUCUGAACGGGAGCAGCUGUUCGCCCUAGCUAGAAGGGAGCCGGCAAAACCUGUUGCACGGAUCUAGAGCUGAGAAAGUCUCUUCUUAGCUUCCUCCACCAUUUUGAAUCAAGUAUAGUGAUGGAGGAAGGUGUUGCCUCUGUGUUUGUUUUCAAGUGAAAGAAGGUUGGCAGCAGCAUUUGGAACACAUGGCAUAAGUCUGGGAACUGGGCCUUACAGCCAUCGUAAAGAAGUGAGCUUCAGCUUCCAAGAAGAGAAGAAAGCAGAGAGAUAUAAUUGGGCAUUUCAAUCUCAUCUGACCAAAGCCUUCAUGUGGAAGAGGAAUCUGCCUGUCAAAGAAAUUGGAGAGCUUCUCUGGAUCCCAUUUCCAUCCAAUCAAAGAUGCUUUGUAUUCACCAUCGUUAAUCGUACGAUUUGCAUUUGUGUAGAAAGUAAUAGAGGAAAUAUCCCAAGUUCAUUACCAAAAGGUAAUGAAGAGCAUCCCCAAAAAUUUGUGUGAUCUGGAUUGGAAUUCUGAAGCAGUUGAUACAAUCAGGGAAAAACAGAAGGAUUUGGCAGGAAAGAACAAGGAGAAUGGGGUUUAUGGAAGAAGAAGUUUGAAGUCUUCCAACUUCACUCAAGAAGUGUUAGUUCACUCAGUUAGGAAACUGGCACACUGACUGGCCAUCCAGGAUGGGACAGAUCUUGUCAGUAUCAGAGGAGUAAUAUUUUCACAAGGAUGAACUGCCACUGAAUGAUACAGAAACACUUUUAUCUUCAAUAUCAUGCAGGUAUUUUGGGAAGAUAAGUCCCUGUAUUAUUAAUUAUGACAUUUAAAAAUGAUUCUGUUCCUUGGGAACAAGAAGACAAAUAUUUAUCUCCAUGGUUAUGUUUUGCAGAGCACUCUAAAAGCAUCAAAAAAGUGCAAGAUCUUGUUCCUGGCAUAUAUUUCCUUUGGGCUAAUCUUUCAAGACUCCAAAAGGUGUUGAGAUACGGUUGAUGUUAUGCAACCUUCAACACUAAAGCAGAUGUACAUCGUUCCUCCUUUGAGAAGUCUUAUUUUGAUCUCUGGAGACCCAUAUAGUGGUCCUCGCUAAAUCAUUUUGAGCAGAAGGGGAAUGUGCCCAGAGCAUUAUAGAAGCAGCAAUCUGUAGAUGGAAGUUAUAUGUGGAGUUUGAUGAAGCUGGCACUUUUCCUCCUGUAUGUUAAAUAAACAAGAAGUUACUGUGUAGUGUGUGAUGAUGCAGGCUGAUACUCUGCUGCUGAAUAAAACAAUGACAUGCUAAGACUCAGACUAUUUCCUUGUAUAGUCCUCAAAAAAUAGGAUUUUUUGUUUCUGAUACAUCUGAAAAUUCACAGGCAAAUAUGCAACUAAUCAAACCUCGCAGAGAUGCUAACACCCAGAUGUGUGUGUUUCUGUGUGGAAGCAAUCUAUGGCUAAUAGUAACAGAACUCUUGGAUAGAGAAAUCCUGUAAAAAUACAGAUUAGGCAUACAUAAGUUAAAUAUGUCUAACUAGUGUGCCAAGAAUUUAUAGUUUUAUGAAAUCUGUAUUAUGUAAAGAUCUUUCAAUAUUUCCUUCUAAAAAGUUUUCAUUAAUAUACAAAAAGGAGGAUAUGGAUUUCCAUAAUAAGCAGAAGAACCUUCCCAUUUCAUGUACAAUAAAUGAAAAUAACCACAUGACCUUGAUUCCUUGGCUUCCCUCUCUCUCCAGAUCUCCAUUAGAAGUUAGUACUUGAGUAAUCCAAUCUUUUAAUAAUAAGCUAUAAAAUAAAACCGUGCAAUUUAGCAAUAAUAAUGAAUGGUAAGUUUGCAUGUUGGCUGGAACUUCUGAGUGAGACUGUCCAACAUUCACUGUGCUAAAAGUCUAACAGUACUGAGUUUGACCAUUGGGAUUGACACCCUAGAUUCGCAACAGAGAUGGGAAGGAGUGCAAAUGCAGAUCUGAAUUUUGUAUUUUAAAUAUGGAAGUAUCUAUAUCUGAGGAGAGCCUUGUCUUGUUCAUCUUGAUACACUUCAGUAAAUUAUGAGGAGCUACUUUAAAAUGAAGAAAAGACAGAGGAGGUAAAAAUCAGAGAAAAUUCAGAGCUGAAAUCGAGAGUUAAUACUUGCAGGAAUUCAAGCCAGUAUUCCUUACAAAACUUCCCUUUGACUUCUCAUCCAGGGGAAAGAAAAGGAAAAAUUUAUCUGUGUGUACCUCUAUAUCUUGUAAUAUAUCUUAUAAUAAUCCAAGUUCACUUCAUGGACAUGGAUUUUGACUCUGGCUCAUAGUGGUGACAUCAUGUCUCAUCACUAGUAAUGAUGUGAUCCAGGAAACUGGAUGAAGUAAACUGCUACCUUCAGCCUUGUAUUGGUUCAAUAGGUCUUACAUAUCAAUAGGUCUUACAUAUCAAACUUACAUACGAUGCUCUUUCUGUUCCUGUGUGAGCAUUUGCAGGACUCACUUGUCGCAAACUUCAUUAUAUUCCAACGUUACCAUCAUCAUUUUCAAUGCACUGAAGCUGAUAUUCAACCCUGUACACAGUUCUCUGGUUGUAAUUCACCAAUUUGUGUGGAUGAGCUGAUUGAGACACUCUUCAUUUUGUGGUGUGACAGCUGUGCAUGUCUGUCUGGAAUGUGGUUUGUCUUUCAUGUCUCUGUUGCCACUGCUGAAAUGCACCAUCCGCCUCCUCACUGCGCUCACAUCCACUGUUUGGUCUCCAUAAACUUUCAGCAUGUGUCAAUGAAUGUCAAAGGGGACCAUUUUUUCCACAUGGAGGAAUUCAGUGACACACCUUUGCUUUGUACGCACUUCCAUGUCAGAGGCCAUUUCGUCAGACUGCCCCUCUGUUGCCAUCUGUCACACAGCAACGAAAUGUAAUGGAAUAUUGGUGGGAAAUUUCAAGCUCUACUAACACGCUACCAGCAUCCACCUCUGAAGUUGUGGGCCAACACCACAAAAUAGGAGGCAUUAAUUUCAGAGCAGCAAGCUUGGUAGAAAGGUGAAUAAAUACAGAUUAGAUUUUCUGUAAUACCUUCACUGAAGGCUCAGAUGAGUUUGAGUCAUAGAUCAAAGCAACAUGAUCAUCUGAAGUGGUCUCUUAUUUGAGAAAGGCCAAACCUUGCACACAAAAUUCCUUUUUGCUUGCUUCCCUCCAACGCUGUAUAUUUAUCAUGGAUAGAUUAUCACUGAGUGAUCACGUUACUUUCUGGUAUCUUAUGACUGUGGUUCAACUUCAGAAACAAAAAAGAGCAAAGGAAAGCUGCCAAAUCCAUUUGCUUUAUGUGACUCCCCACUUCAGACACACAAGGAAAGGCCUUACCUUUUUAACCUGUGCAGCUGAUGCUUGGAUUUUCUUUUCAUAUAUAUGCUCCAAAAGUAAACCAUGGACUUGAGAGGAAACGAGCUUAAUAUGCCAUGUGCUUCCUAUUUGUUGAAGGUAUCAGGGCUAGAGCUCCCUUGGCAUGCUAAAACAUGAACGUUUUUACAGCGUAGCAGAUUAUGGAAGCUGCUCUUGAUAAAUUCCAGUAACAGCAUUUUACAUUCCUCAUGCACCUUUCUGUGAAUGACAGAUUGCCACAUUAAGUCUCUAAAGAAGUGCUUGACAAGGGUGGUUCAGCAAAAGAAGAAAAUGGACCAUGUGUCUGACUCGGUAACUCUACAUUUCUUAACACAUUUACACGGGACUGCAGUGUUGUUCUCUCCUGUGUGCCAGAGCAUGAGAAAACUUCAGCGUGAGACACUCCUUCACACCACCAGGUCCUCUGCUGAAAUGCACAUGAAAACAAACAUAUGGAUGUGUUUACCUCUCAUAAAAGUAUAGGAAAAAGAAUAAUUUCACUGGAAUUUUUUCUUCUUGGCUGGGAGGUAGAGGAAAAGGGACCAUGGCAGAUACACAAGCUGUAGAAGAUGUGCUUGUUGGGAAGAAGGUUGUAGAGAUUAAACAGCCAGCCCAGUAAGUACUAGAAGCCUUUAUGCUGCAAGUAGAGCAACCAGGCUAAUAUACUGUUUCAUGCUGUAUUCUGAAGGUGCUUUUUGGAAGAAGUCAGUUCAAAAUGUUGCCCAGUAUGACUCUGCCUGGCACAGAAAUCACUGCUGGUUCUAUCCAUUCAGUGGAACUGAGGGGAACAAAGUUUGAAGACAUAAGUAUAUGAUUGUAUGUGAUUGUCUACAUACUUAAAAUGUGUAGAAUUAGCUGUUAAGUGCACUCUAAAUAUGGCACAUAAAUUCACCUAUAAAUACUAGAAGCACUGUGCCUGAUUUAGAAACAUUAACUGAAGAAUUUCUCAAAUGCAAAUUUUAAUUUCUUUCAGAUCUGUUUUGUGGUUUCUUCUCCAGCAUUCAAGGUGGAUGCAUGAGAUUCCAUUUCCAGUUUUAACUUAAUGGCUUCCCUUAAGAAAGAGGAGGAAAAAAAGUUAUAUGAAUUAAACAUUACAUAUGAUGUGGCAAAGCACUUUCAGGAAUUCAAUAAGGAAGAGCAGAAAAAACUGUUGCUCAGAGUUAGUAGCAGCAGUGAAUAGCGCUGUUACCAUCUAAAAGCUCACACUUUUCAGUCAGACUUGGCUGGUGAAAUGUAGAAGCUUAAUGUGGAUUACACUUUUUAAAUCUUUCAACGUUAGAAAAAUAGAAGAGAUGUAGUGCGUUUUCAUUUCAGCGUACUUUGAAUGCAAUCUCAAGAUAAAUGUGAGAGACGGAUUGUGUUUGUACCCGUGCCAAACAUUGUCGUUAGAUAUUGCUGUUUUGUUUCAUCAGCCAGAUGAAUUUACACAGGGACAUCGAUCAGGUACCUACAUUUAAAAGAGCGCACUGUCAAAUUAGUGGAUAGAAAGAGCACAUUAGGAGAGAGAAAUUAUCUGGUGAAAGAUUUAAAGACUGACUCACUUAUGUUUUGUUUCAUUAAAUGUGGGGUAGUCCCCGUUCAUUUUCCAUUUAGCAUGAACAUUCAUAGACUCCAUUAAAAUACCAUUUUUGUAACGAACUAGCUGACUUGGGACAUACAUGAUCCUCAUUGGAAAAAACACAGCUCCCCUUCUGACAGGUUCUAGAUCACUCCAAAAUCUGGGGCCCAAGACGGGCAACCCUACUGGCUGUCUUGAGGAGACACCUGCGUCCUCCUGUAAAAUAUAUGUGUAUAGGGCAUAUAUUUUAUGGCCUGCAGGGGCUGGUGGUCUCCAUAGGGAUGGGGAGAGGUUGGGAUGGGAUGUGGUUGUAUGCACUCCACAAAAGGUCUCAGAAUAUGUUCUCAAGAGGCAAACACACACAAGCACAAAACAAACAAACAAAAAGACAAGCAACAAAAUAAAUCAAGCAAAUUGAAACCAAAUACAUCCAUGACUAGCCUAUGCCAUAAAUCCCUCUUUUGUGCUACUUUCCAGUCAGCUCCAUUACACAAUGGAUUUAAUUCCACAAUGAUUUAAUUACACAAUGAUUUAAUUCAAACAUUUUAUGGCAGAGAUGUAUUUUAGCUAAAAUGAUAUUUUUACUCAGUGUGGGGCGGCAGGGGGUUGGAUAAAAUGGACUACUUUACCAAUGAAAUGAAGAGCUACAGAAUGGUAAGAGACAGAUACAGGGAGUGUAGGUGUGGUACCAAAUCCCUACCUCACUGUUUCAAUACCUGCGCUUAGUGCCUGGAUUGCCUUACAUUCAGCUCUGUAACAGCCCCACAACAUAUCAGAGCUUCCUGCGAAGGUUUUCACUCUUCAUAUCCAAUAAGACAUUUAGAUUAAUGCAUGCAAAAUGUUGCCCUAGGAUUUGAUAGUGAAAAGAGCCAAAACCCAAAUCUUCUUUUUUUCCCCAGAAAUAGUCAUCCAUCAUUAAAAUUAUUAGAGAGCAAAUGGCUGAAAUGUAUCAUUACAAAAUAGAAGUAUUUCCUUUGAUUGUUUAAAAAUCUCUUAUUUAAUUUGAUUCAUACAUAUUUUUUUCCCUUUUACAGUUUAGAACACUGCAUCUUACCAUAUGUGAAAUGUUUCUUUGAGGUGUCAAAGUGACUUGUCAUGGGUUUGGAAUGAGAACUAAAUUAAAUGUCCAUACUUUAACAUACUUAUAUAAAUAACGAGAUAUUCCAGUAUAAACCAUUCAUUUGGCAGUCAUUUCUACAUCAGCAACUACAAAGUGCUAUAGAUUUCCUGCCUAACUUGACACAUGCAAAGAAAAUCAGGAAGGAAAAUGUGUGUGUACGCAUAUAUUUUAUAGAAAAAGACAGCCUCUUGUAUUCUAUUGUCAUUAAAGUAUUUCUAGCUUUUCUGGAAAUAGUGCAAGAGGUUUAACAAAAUGCUCUGCAUUCACAGCAGAAUGCUGGAGCAUUAAGUUGCUUCCAACUGCACUCCAAAACUUGUUUCCAUAAUUUAGAAACAGAGAGGGUAGAAAUGGAUAACAAAGUCAUUAAUGAGCUCCAAGAAUGAUUUAUUAUGGGUGAUAUAGCGUCUUUGCUUUUAAGAAAAAUACAUUAAAUAAAAAUUCUUCAUAAAAUAAAAAUUCUUUCCUAUUGAACAUUGUGCAGAAUUUGCUUUAUUAGUGUAUUAUAUCACCACAUUGCCUGGUCUGGCAUUUCUCAUACAAAUAAUGUUUCAAGGUGCUAGCAAAGCUUGUGAACUACAGUGCAAACCAUGUUAGGAAUACUGUUUGUACAGAAACACAACAGUAGCAAAGAUCCUUCUGCAGGGGUUCUGGAGAUAGUUAACACUGGAGGAUCCUUUCAUCUUGCAUCUGCUGCACAAACUUGCAUCACACUCGGCUAACAAUAAUAAAAAAUGAUAACUGAUAUUUAGUUCCAGUCUUUCCAUCUGCCUGACUUCUUUAUGCCAGUUUUUAGGUUGCCAGUCUUUCUCAUGCACACGUCUAUGCACACAUACUCUGAAAGCAUCGGUGGUCAAUGAACAGUGUCGUCUAGGUGGAAACAUCAUAUAGCUAUAAAACAACAUCCAGAUUUGCUG
rnacentral:lncRNA from 1 species